AACAGGAAAUUCUAGAUUACCCACAGGCAGAAGCAGCCAGAGCGCCCCCGCCGUACAUCAUCACCGGUUCUCUUGGGUCAUCAAAUGUCCUCAGCAAGUGCAGGUUUUCCUGGGAUGAACACAGUUCCGGUUUCCGGAUUCUGAUCAUAAAGAUCUUGGAUGACCCCUGAGCACAUGUAGCUGACAGCCUCUGCUUAUGUGGAAUACAGACUAAAAAAGCAUGAAGAUAAGAUGCAUAUUUCAAAGCAAGUACAUCGUAUCUACCUUGGCUUCUGACUUCUUUCUGUCCACUGAGAAAGAUGCUUCCUCUCGCCAUCACCUGUACCAGACAAAGAAAACCCUCUGCUGUGAAGGAAUGCCCAUAAGGCUGACCAGGUGACUUGAUACACAUGAAACUCUUUACCAGUGCCUCAAGCCUGCUACUCUAGUUGGAAGGAGGUCUCAUAGCACCUCCCAUCUAUGCACAGAAUUAUGUCCGGGAAGAGACCAGAUCUUCUUACAUGUUGCUUCUACUUCCACAGCAGAAAUGUUGGUCAUGAUAGAGUCACUGUAAGAGAACACUAGUAUCUCACUGUCUGAACUCUGCUCUGAGCGAGUCCCUUCAGUAAGGGACAGGCAAGUUACAGAAAAUACCCUACCCUCUAAGAAAGAGCCUUCUCACGCCCUGAGUCCCCAGCACUGGGCCUCUGCGGGAUCCCUCACAGUCUCUGCCAGCCCUUGGAUGUCUUACUUUCAGGCUGAUCUGU